AUUGAACGCUGGCGGCAGGCCUAACACAUGCAAGUCGAGCGUGAAAGUUCCUUCGGGAGCGAGUAGAGCGGCGGACGGGUGAGUAACGCGUAGGAAUCUGCCCAGUAGUGGGGGACAACUCGAGGAAACUCGAGCUAAUACCGCAUACGCCCUAAGGGGGAAAGCAGGGGAUCUUCGGACCUUGUGCUAUUGGAUGAGCCUGCGUCGGAUUAGCUAGUUGGUGGGGUAAUGGCCUACCAAGGCAACGAUCCGUAGCUGGUCUGAGAGGAUGAUCAGCCACACUGGGACUGAGACACGGCCCAGACUCCUACGGGAGGCAGCAGUGGGGAAUAUUGGACAAUGGGGGCAACCCUGAUCCAGCCAUGCCGCGUGUGUGAAGAAGGCCUUCGGGUUGUAAAGCACUUUCAGCAGGGAGGAAAAGCUAAUGGCUAAUAACCAUUAGCCCUGACGUUACCUGCAGAAGAAGCACCGGCAAACUCCGUGCCAGCAGCCGCGGUAAUACGGAGGGUGCGAGCGUUAAUCGGAAUUACUGGGCGUAAAGCGCGCGUAGGCGGUUUGAUUAGCUGGAUGUGAAAGCCCCGGGCUCAACCUGGGAAUUGCAUCCAGAACUGUCAGACUAGAGUACAGUAGAGGUGAGUGGAAUUUCCUGUGUAGCGGUGAAAUGCGUAGAUAUAGGAAGGAACAUCAGUGGCGAAGGCGGCUCACUGGACUGAUACUGA
rnacentral:rRNA from 1 species